AGUGUGUGCCUUGAUUUGUAGGUGGUAUCAUUGAAAAUUUUCAUAUCUGUAUAACAGGUACAUCAUAAGGACCGUGAAUAUGGCUGUGUAUUUUCGGGAAACAAGAUUCCAGAUUGCUUUAGCCAUCGUAAAGAGGUUGCAAAUACUAAUUCUUUUGAAAUAAAUAUCAAUGAGGCUGUACAUUUGGAUUCGGAGAAUACUGGAUUUGCUUUCUCUGCCGUGAUUGGUUUCAAAGAGCAUGUACAAAAUGAGGAUCCUUUUGUUAUUGGCGUUGAAGUCAUCAUUGAUGGUAAAAAAAUCUAUACUCAUAGGUCUCGUCCUAUGUAUAAUUUAACCGACUCAGAUCAUGUAUGGUUGCAUUACCAAGGUUCACACCAUUCUCAGCUAAAGACAAAUAAUCUUCAAGUUAAAUUUUUAUGUGAGGGUAUUUUGACUAGUGAACCUUCAGAUUCAGUGUUCUUUAAAAGUUGUGGAUUCCAUCUACAACAACUAUAUGAAGAGAAAGCAAUAGCUUUAAUGGAUGGAAUUUAACUUUCAAAGAGACAUGAUGAUGAUGAUGAUGGCAACUUGGAAUCCAAUUGGUACUCGCAACAAAAGAGGCAUUCUUCAACCUUGGGCAUUAGAAUUUCAGAUGUGGAGGAAACAGCGGUUGGGUACAUGAAUCACAAAAACACUAAUCAAAUCACCCCCAGAACUUAAACCAGCCAGGGAUUAUAUCUGGGUACAUCAUCUUCUUUGUUCAGUCAGCAUUGAUGAUUGCUGGUUCAAGAGUCAUUUACAGGUGUCAGCAAGCUCUACCUCCAACUAUGGGUCCUGUCAAGUUUGAACUUUGCUUACACACUUUUGGUUCUAAACUACUCCUGUGUUGGUUUCAUGGUAUUAAGCCUGCAGCACGAAACACUUGCCUAGUAUGGGAGCAUAUAUUAUAUUGGAACCAUUCUUCCAAUAGUAUUGAUCCUGCCUGCUUACAUAAGAAGAAACUGUGCUUUGUGCUUUUUAGUUGAAAGAAUGUAACGAUGUGAUAUAAAAGUAAAAAUAGUUUUGAGUGCUUUGUAUUUAGAAUUGUUUGUUAAUUAAUGUUUUUUUUUU